rnacentral:misc_RNA from 1 species
GAUGAAGAACGUAGCGAAAUGCGAUAAGUAAUGUGAAUUGCAGAAUUCAGUGAAUCAUCGAAUCUUUGAACGCACCUUGCGCUCCUUGGUAUUCCGAGGAGCAUGCCUGUUUGAGUAUCAUGAAAUUCUCAACCUUUCUGGCUUUUGCGAGCUAGUUUAGGCUUGGAUUAUGGGAGCUGCUGGCUUUUGAAGUCGGCUCUUCUGAAAUGCAUUAGCAAGAUUCAUUGCUGCUCAUCAUUGGUAUGAUAAUUAUCUAUACCAUUGAGAGUCGGUUUCCUUCAUUGGAGGAUUUUGCUUCUAACCGUCUUUACUUUAAGACAUCAUUUGACCAUUUUGAUCUCAAAUCAGGUAGGACUACCCGCUGAACUUAAGCAUAUCAAUAAGCGGAGGA